rnacentral:lncRNA from 1 species
GCUGCGGAGCCCCGGGAGCUGCGGAGCCCCGGAGCUGCGGAGCCCCGGAGCUGCGGAAUUUCUGCCCCGGGAGCUGCGGAGCCCCGGGAGCUGCGGAGCCCCCGGAGCUGCGGAGCCGCUGCCCCCGGAGCUGCGGAGCCCCGGGAGCUGCGGAGCCCCCGGAGCUGCGGAGCCCCCGGAGCUGCGGAGCCCCGGAGCUGCGGAGCCCCGGAAUUUCUGCCCCGGGAGCUGCGGAAUUUCUGCCCCGGGAGCUGCGGAGCCGCUGGCCCGGGAGCUGCGGAGCCCCGGGAGCUGCGGAGCCCCCGGAGCUGCGGAGCCCCGGAGCUGCGGAGCCCCCGGAGCUGCGGAAUUUCUGCCCCGGGAGCUGCGAAAUCGCUGCCCCGGGAGCUGCGAGCAGCCGAGCCGCAGAGCCUGGAGCUUUUCUGCUUCUUGGAGUGGGUCACGGGGAAGGAACACGUAGAGCUUGUUUGCCAGCCGCAUGAUUUGGCUUAUUUGCUCUCUUGUAGCAGGUGCUUAAUUGUGGCAGAAAAGGGUUCCCGGCAGCUUUCUGGGCAGCCAAAUUCCCGCCUGCCCCUUUCGCAGCCAGGCAAAACAAAAGCACGAUUGUCAACCGCAGGCGGAGCGGAGCUCUCUCGGGCCUCCUUCCCGGGAGAAAAGGUUUCCCGGCAGGAGAGAGCGGACGAUGGAGGCACCCAGCGAGCCCACGCUGUGGCAAAGCUUGGCACGGCACGGAACAGCACAGCAUGGCACGGCUGCCCCUGGCACAGCUGCCCAGUGCCAUCCCCCUUCCCUCAGCACCGCGAUCUCCUCUGGCUGGGCUGUGAUUAAAAGGCGUUUUGCUUCCCGCUCCCAUCUCUCCAGUUUUAAACCUGUCCCCAAGGAAUUCUGUCUGUCCGGCUCCGUGAUCCUGACUCCACACCCCAGGCUGAGCUCUGGGGGUCACACCAAGCCCCCUGUUCACCCCACAGCAUCCUCCUCCCUCCAUCUCCCACUCCCCAGCCAGGAAUGAAGAAGCCCUCAGGAGAUCCAAGAUACGAGCAGACAUUGCUCCAGCCCCAGUAAAAUUUUUUUGACUCUCCAGUUUAAAGCCAGGGCAUUUCUACCCUUCCCAGGUGCUGCCAGGAGCCUGCCCAGCCUCACUGGGGACAGGAUGCAG